rnacentral:rRNA from 1 species
UACGGAGGGAGCUAGCGUUGUUCGGAAUUACUGGGCGUAAAGCGCACGUAGGCGGCUUUGUAAGUUAGAGGUGAAAGCCCGGGGCUCAACUGGGGAGGGUCACGCGAUACUGAUCGACUGGAAGGCAGGAGAGGGUAGUGGAAUUCCCGGUGUAGUGGUGAAAUGCGUAGAUAUCAGGAGGAACACCGGUGGCGAAGGCGGAUCUCUGGGCCAUUACUGACGCUGAGGAGCGAAAGCGUGGGGAGCGAACAGG